UACGUAGGGGGCAAGCGUUGUCCGGAAUCAUUGGGCGUAAAGCGCACGUAGGCGGAUUGCUAAGUCAGGGGUGAAAUCCUGGAGCUCAACUCCAGAACUGCCUUUGAUACUGGCGGUCUCGAGUCCGGGAGAGGUGAGUGGAACUGCGAGUGUAGAGGUGAAAUUCGUAGAUAUUCGCAAGAACACCAGUGGCGAAGGCGGCUCACUGGCCCGGUACUGACGCUGAGGUGCGAAAGCGUGGGGAGCAAACAGG
rnacentral:rRNA from 1 species